AGUGAGCGCUGGCGGUAGGCCUAACACAUGCAAGUCGAACGGCAGCACAGUAAGAGCUUGCUCUUACGGGUGGCGAGUGGCGGACGGGUGAGGAAUACAUCGGAAUCUACUUUUUCGUGGGGGAUAACGUAGGGAAACUUACGCUAAUACCGCAUACGACCUACGGGUGAAAGCAGGGGAUCUUCGGACCUUGCGCGAUUGAAUGAGCCGAUGUCGGAUUAGCUGGUUGGCGGGGUAAAGGCCCACCAAGGCGACGAUCCGUAGCUGGUCUGAGAGGAUGAUCAGCCACACUGGAACUGAGACACGGUCCAGACUCCUACGGGAGGCAGCAGUGGGGAAUAUUGGACAAUGGGCGCAAGCCUGAUCCAGCCAUACCGCGUGGGUGAAGAAGGCCUUCGGGUUGUAAAGCCCUUUUGUUGGGAAAGAAAAGCAGCAGGUUAAUACCCCGCUGUUCUGACGGUACCUAAAGAAUAAGCACCGGCUAACUUCGUG
rnacentral:rRNA from 1 species